CGCGUAGGCGGUUUAACAAGUUGGAUGUGAAAGCCCUGGGCUCAACCCGGGAAUUGCAUUCAAAACUGUUUGACUCGAAUUCGGUAGAGGUUGGUAGAAUUCCCAGUGUAGAGGUGAAAUUCGUAGAGAUUGGGAAGAAUACCCGUGGCGAAGGCGGCCAACUGGACCGACAUUGACGCUGAGGCGCGAAAGCGUGGGUAGCAAACAGGAUUAGAUACCCUGGUAGUCCACGCCGUAAACGAUGCAUGCUAGACGUUAAAACCAUCAUGGUUUUAGUGUCGCAGCUAACGCACUAAGCAUGCCGCCUGGGGAGUACGGCCGCAAGGUUGAA
rnacentral:rRNA from 1 species